rnacentral:rRNA from 1 species
ACGGGUGAGUAAUGCUUGGGAAUCUGGCUUAUGGAGGGGGAUAACUACGGGAAACUGUAGCUAAUACCGCGUAGAAUCGGAAGAUGAAAGUGCGGGACCGCAAGGCCGCAUGCCAUGAGAUGAGCCCAAGUGGGAUUAGGUAGUUGGUGGGGUAAAGGCCUACCAAGCCUGCGAUCUCUAGCUGGUCUGAGAGGAUGGCCAGCCACACUGGAACUGAGACACGGUCCAGACUCCUACGGGAGGCAGCAGUGGGGAAUAUUGCGCAAUGGGGGGAACCCUGACGCAGCCAUGCCGCGUGAAUGAAGAAGGCCUUCGGGUUGUAAAGUUCUUUCGGUAUUGAGGAAGGUUGAUGUGUUAAUAGUACAUCAAAUUGACGUUAAAUACAGAAGAAGCACCGGCUAACUCCGUGCCAGCAGCCGCGGUAAUACGGAGGGUGCGAGCGUUAAUCGGAAUAACUGGGCGUAAAGGGCACGCAGGCGGUUAUUUAAGUGAGGUGUGAAAGCCCCGGGCUUAACCUGGGAAUUGCAUUUCAGACUGGGUAACUAGAGUACUUUAGGGAGGGGUAGAAUUCCACGUGUAGCGGUGAAAUGCGUAGAGAUGUGGAGGAAUACCGAAGGCGAAGGCAGCCCCUUGGGAAUGUACUGACGCUC